rnacentral:rRNA from 1 species
UGAGGGAUAUUGGUCAAUGGGCGCAAGCCUGAACCAGCGACGCCGCGUGGGUGAAGAAGGUCUUCGGAUCGUAAAGCCCUUUUCCCACUGAAGAGGAAGGACGGUAGGUGGGGAAGAAGUCUCGGCUAACUACGUGCCAGCAGCCGCGGUAAAACGUAGGAGACAAGCGUUAUCCGGAGUUACUGGGCGUAAAGGGCGUGCAGGUGGCGUCUUAAGUCUGUUGUGAAAGCGCCUGGCUUAACCGGGCGAGGCCAAUGGAGACUGAGAGGCUGGAGGACGGCGGAGGGGUGUGGAAUUCCGGGUGUAGUGGUGAAAUGCGUAGAGAUCCGGAGGAACACCAGAGGCGAAGGCGGCACUCUAAGCCGUACCUGACACUGAGACGCGACAGCACGGGGA